rnacentral:rRNA from 1 species
GACGAAGGGGGCAAGCGUUGUUCGGAAUUACUGGGCGUAAAGGGCGCGUAGGCGGUUCUUUAAGUCAGGGGUGAAAUCCUGGAGCUCAACUCCAGAACUGCCUUUGAUACUGAAGAUCUUGAGUUCGGGAGAGGUGAGUGGAACUGCGAGUGUAGAGGUGAAAUUCGUAGAUAUUCGCAAGAACACCAGUGGCGAAGGCGGCUCACUGGCCCGAUACUGACGCUGAGGCACGAAAGCGUGGGGAGCAAACAGG